GAUGGAGGGCGAAGGAUGUGGCCAAACCUGGACACUGUCCGGAGUUCCCACACCGCUGCCCUUCCACGAUGAUACCGCUGUGCCGGCGGGAUAGAAACUGCAAGAAGGACUAUAAGUGUUGUUUCUACAACUGUAGAUAUCAGUGUUUGGUGCCGUGGAAGAGCCUGGAUUGAGGUAGAAAUCCCUUCUUACCGGGCCCUGAGAAGACACUGGUAGAACAGGCUCCGACUCGGAUAACUGGUCUCCAAUUCUUCCAUGUUCUCCUCACCCCCCAGACUUCCUUUAUCAGAGUUCAUUGCUUAUUACUAUGAAAGCAACACAAAGAAAUAAAGUGUUAUCUACCUGAAACAAUUGUCCAUGAAAAUCUAUGACUGCCAGGUCGCUCUGUGCUCCGCCUUCCGGGAAGAUCCUUGGGGGUUUGUAAAAAAGGAUGGGGCUGCUGUUUCCCAUAUAGUUUUGAGCGAUUCCUGCAUUUCUGCCACGUCCUUCUCUUUCAGGGUCUUCUGACACUCAGAUUCCCUGUUGGCCAGUUUCCAAAACCUGACCUUGGGCCGUGGGGCAUUUUGAGUCAUAGUUUCUGAGUUUGGGUCCCAUGGAAGGUGUAUCUGUACGUCUGAGAUGGAGGAGCGAGGCUUUUGCUGCACUUAGUCUGAUACUGCGGCUGCUGGCCUUUCCACACCUUGAUGAUUGUUCCAGGUUUCUAAGAAGCUCUCCCCUCUUCCCGCUCCUCCACUCAUCCCUAAGGGCCCGCUAAACUGUCCCAGAAGGGCCUCCUGACCAGCCUGUGACAGUCCCCCUCCAAGUUGUACAUUUCCCUCUCUGGGCCUCAUAGUCUUCCUGGGGUAGAAAGAACCACUGACACUCUGGGUGGUGAGGUCACUGUCUUGGCCUGAAUUCCCUGCUUAUGAAAUAGCAGCUGGGAUCACAGGGCCAAUUCUGGUGGAGCCACACCCACAGCGAGAGGUAUAAGGGAUGUGGCUGACAGCAGCCACCACAGCCUCCUGCCCUCACUAUGAAGCUUAACAACCUCCUGGUCUUCACGGUGCUCCUGGCCCUCAGAAUCCUGUCAUCCUGGGCUGUCGUAGAUGCUGGCAAAGUUGAUCUGCUCUCUUUCUUCCAGUCUCUGAGGAGUUGUUCCUCCUGCUUUCACUGCCCCUCGCUUCCUCCCUCCCAGCCAGGGUGAAUCUCUCCCUCUCCCUGGGAACACCUGAGCUCUAUGCAGCCGUGCCCUGGAGCUGGCUUAUACUGGCUUGCAAUGGCCAAUUGAAAAAGCCAAACCUGGAGCCUGCCCCUUCAUAUACCCAGCAAACUGUCUUGUGCAUGAACCUCCUCAAUGCCACAGUGACUGGCAGUGUCCAAAGAAGCAGAAAUGCUGUCCUGGCCUUUGUGGCAUCAAAUGCUUGGAUCCUGAAGACCCAUCAAAGCCAGUUCAAGUCAAUCCUGGGAAGUGUCCAGUGGUCACUGGCCAGUGUAAGAUGCUCAACCCCCGAGACGAAUGCCGGAAUGACAGCCACUGCCUGAAGAGUCUCAAGUGCUGCAAGGGCAUGUGUGGGCAUUCAUGUGUCAAGCCAGUGUGAGAAUAAAUCUAGACUAGGACUUCCUGGUGUGUAUGGAAUUACUUCCUGGGAUUCCUUUUUCCUCAAGCCUGGAAAAAAUGAGAGGACCUUGAUGAAUAUGUGGCUUUGCGACCAAUAUCUCCUUGGGGGCUAAGUUUUGACCUGUUUUAGCUAUAAAUCCUCAGCAUACAACAUGGGGCUUGGCACAAAUAGGAAAUGUCUGUUGAUUAAUGAAUAAAUAAAUGUACAAAGUUUU